AACGAACGCUGGCGGCAUGCCUAACACAUGCAAGUCGAACGAGACCUUCGGGUCUAGUGGCGAACGGGUGCGUAACGCGUGGGAACCUGCCCUUAGGUUCGGAAUAACUCCCCGAAAGGGGUGCUAAUACCGGAUAAUGUCUUCGGACCAAAGAUUUAUCGCCUUUGGAUGGGCCCGCGUUGGAUUAGCUGGUUGGUAGGGUAAAAGCCUACCAAGGCGACGAUCCAUAGCUGGUCUGAGAGGAUGAUCAGCCACACUGGGACUGAGACACGGCCCAGACUCCUACGGGAGGCAGCAGUGGGGAAUAUUGGACAAUGGGCGAAAGCCUGAUCCAGCAAUGCCGCGUGAGUGAUGAAGGCCUUAGGGUUGUAAAGCUCUUUUACCCGGGAUGAUAAUGACAGUACCGGGAGAAUAAGCUCCGGCUAACUCCGUG
rnacentral:rRNA from 1 species